CCCUUAGAUGUUCUGGGCCGCACGCGCGCUACACUGAAGGAAUCAGCGUGGCUUUCUCCCUGACCCGAAAGGGUUGGGAAACCCGUUGAAUCUCCUUCGUGAUAGGGAUUGGGGCUUGAAAUUGUUCCCCAUGAACGAGGAAUUCCCAGUAAGCGCGAGUCAUAAGCUCGCGUUGAUUACGUCCCUGCCCUUUGUACACACCGCCCGUCGCUACUACCGAUUGAACGGUUUAGUGAGGGCCUCGGAUUGGUCUCGGCCCGCUCUUUACCGGGCGGCGCCGUUGGUCGAGAAGACGCUCGAACUUGAUCGUUUAGAGGAAGUAAAAGUCGUAACA
rnacentral:rRNA from 1 species